CCUACGGGAGGCAGCAGUGAGGAAUAUUGGUCAAUGGACGAGAGUCUGAACCAGCCAAGUAGCGUGAAGGAUGACUGCCCUAUGGGUUGUAAACUUCUUUUAUAAAGGAAUAAAACGAGGCACGUGUGCCUUUUUGCAUGUACUUUAUGAAUAAGGAUAGGCUAACUCCGUGCCAGCAGCCGCGGUAAUACGGAGGAUCCGAGCGUUAUCCGGAUUUAUUGGGUUUAACGGGAGCGUAGAUGGGUUGUUAAGUCAGUUGUGAAAGUUUGCGGCUCAACCGUAAAAUUGCAAUUGAUACUGGUAGUCUUGAGUACAGUUGAGGUAGGCGGAAUUCGUGGUGUAGCGGUGAAAUGCUUAGAUAUCACGAAGAACCCCGAUUGCGAAGGCAGCUUACUAAACUGUGACUGACAUUGAUGCUCGAAAGUGUGGGUAUCAAACAGGAUUAGAUACCCUUGUAGUC
rnacentral:rRNA from 1 species